rnacentral:rRNA from 1 species
AGGUAAGCUACUAAGAGCGAAUGGUGGAUGCCUUGACUGGUAAAGGCGAUGAAGGACGUACUAGACUGCGAUAAGCUACGGGGAGCUGUCAAGAAGCUUUGAUCCGUAGAUUUCCGAAUGGGGCAACCCAAUGUAUAGAGAUAUACAUUACCUAUAUAGGAGCGAACGAGGGGAAUUGAAACAUCUUAGUACCCUCAGGAAAAGAAAUCAAUAGAGAUUGUGUCAGUAGCGGCGAGCGAAAGCGCAAGAGGGCAAACCCAGUGCUUGCACUGGGGGUUGUAGGACUGCAAUGUGCAAGAGCUGAGUUUAGCAGAACAUUCUGGAAAGUAUAGCCAUAGAGGGUGAUAGUCCCGUAUGCGAAAAACAAAGCUUAGCUAGCAGUAUCCUGAGUAGGGCGGGACACGAGGAAUCCUGUCUGAAUCCGGGUCGACCACGAUCCAACCCUAAAUACUAAUACCAGAUCGAUAGUGCACAAGUACCGUGAGGGAAAGGUGAAAAGAACUGAGGUGAUCAGAGUGAAAUAGAACCUGAAACCAUUUGCUUACAAUCAUUCAGAGCACUAUGUAGCAAUACAGUGUGAUGGACUGCCUUUUGCAUAAUGAGCCUGCGAGUUGUGGUGUCUGGCAAGGUUAAGCAAACGCGAAGCCGUAGCGAAAGCGAGUCUGAAUAGGGCGCUUAGUCAGAUGCUGCAGACCCGAAACGAAGUGAUCUAUCCAUGAGCAAGUUGAAGCUAGUGUAAGAACUAGUGGAGGACUGAACCCAUAGGCGUUGAAAAGCCCCGGGAUGACUUGUGGAUAGGGGUGAAAGGCCAAUCAAACUUCGUGAUAGCUGGUUCUCUCCGAAAUAUAUUUAGGUAUAGCGUUGUGUCGUAAUAUAAGGGGGUAGAGCACUGAAUGGGCUAGGGCAUACACCAAUGUACCAAACCCUAUCAAACUCCGAAUACCUUAUAUGUAAUCACAGCAGUCAGGCGGCGAGUGAUAAAAUCCGUCGUCAAGAGGGAAACAACCCAGACUACCAGCUAAGGUCCCUAAAUCUUACUUAAGUGGAAAACGAUGUGAAGUUACUUAAACAACCAGGAGGUUGGCUUAGAAGCAGCCAUCCUUUAAAGAAAGCGUAAUAGCUCACUGGUCUAGUGAUUUUGCGCGGAAAAUAUAACGGGGCUAAAGUAAGUACCGAAGCUGUAGACUUGCGCACAACUUAGAUUAUUUAAGUUUAGAAUAUGAGAAACUAAGUUAUAUUUUUACUGAUUUUUAUAGAGUAAAGAUAGAAAUAAAACUUAGUAAAAUCAGUAAAAAUAUUCUUAGGCUAAAGUUAAGUAGUUUAAGUUGUGUGCAAGUGGUAGGAGAGCGUUCUAUUUGCGUCGAAGGUAUACCGGUAAGGAGUGCUGGAGCGAAUAGAAGUGAGCAUGCAGGCAUGAGUAGCGAUAAUUAAUGUGAGAAUCAUUAACGCCGUAAACCCAAGGUUUCCUACGCGAUGCUCGUCAUCGUAGGGUUAGUCGGGUCCUAAGUCGAGUCCGAAAGGGGUAGACGAUGGCAAAUUGGUUAAUAUUCCAAUACCAACAUUAGUGUGCGAUGGAAGGACGCUUAGGGCUAAGGGGGCUAGCGGAUGGAAGUGCUAGUCUAAGGUCGUAGGAGGUUAUACAGGCAAAUCCGUAUAACAAUACUCCGAGAACUGAAAGGCUUUUUGAAGUCUUCGGAUGGAUAGAAGAACCCCUGAUGCCGUCGAGCCAAGAAAAGUUUCUAAGUUUAGCUAAUGUUGCCCGUACCGUAAACCGACACAGGUGGGUGGGAUGAGUAUUCUAAGGCGCGUGGAAGAACUCUCUUUAAGGAACUCUGCAAAAUAGCACCGUAUCUUCGGUAUAAGGUGUGGUUAGCUUCGUACUAGGAUUUACUCCGAAAGCGAAGAAACUUACAACAAAGAGUCCCUCCCGACUGUUUACCAAAAACACAGCACUCUGCUAACUCGUAAGAGGAUGUAUAGGGUGUGACGCCUGCCCGGUGCUCGAAGGUUAAUUGAUGGGGUUAGCAUUAGCGAAGCUCUUGAUCGAAGCCCGAGUAAACGGCGGCCGUAACUAUAACGGUCCUAAGGUAGCGAAAUUCCUUGUCGGUUAAAUACCGACCUGCAUGAAUGGCGUAACGAGAUGGGAGCUGUCUCAAAGAGGGAUCCAGUGAAAUUGUAGUGGAGGUGAAAAUUCCUCCUACCCGCGGCAAGACGGAAAGACCCCGUGGACCUU